AUUGAACGCUGGCGGCAGGCCUAACACAUGCAAGUCGAGCGGAGCGGCGGACGGGUGAGUAAUGCCUAGGAAUCUGCCUGGUAGUGAGGGAUAACGUCAGGAAACGGACGCGAAUACCGCAUACUAUCAGAUGAGCCUGGGGCGGAUUAGGUAGUUGGUGGGGUAAGGGCCUACCAAGGCGACGAUCCCUAGCUGGUCUGAGAGGAUGACCAGCCACACUGGAACUGAGACACGGUCCAGACUCCUACGGGAGGCAGCAGUGGGGAAUAUUGCACAAUGGGCGCAAGCCUGAUGCAGCCAUGCCGCGUGUAUGAAGAAGGCCUUCGGGUUGUAAAGUACUGUCAGCGGGGAGGCGUUACCCGCAGAAGAAGCACCGGCUAACUCCGUGCCAGCAGCCGCGGUAAUUC
rnacentral:rRNA from 1 species